UUCGAAAAUUAGCGCACGCGUUUAUGUGUAUAACCCCCCGUUCGAGUGCGGCGAACUCGUUUGAAAAAUCGGCUAAGUUCGGAUAGAUAAAACGCCGAACCUAAUCCGGCGAUUCGCGCAGUGCCGAUCGAGUUCCGCUCGCGAGAACUGCGCAUAAUUGAUUUAUUACAAUUUAUAUGUACUCCGCGCAGAGCAGCUCUCGUUUGUCCCAUAACUCACGCGUCAAUUAUACUCCGCGCGAAAACCGGUAUGGUCAGCAACGAACAAAGCUUUAAAUUUAAAAUCGCCGCGCGCGAAAGCUGUUCACCUUCGUCCUCGAAUUUCGCGGUUGUAACGUAAAAGACGCUCUUUUUACUCGUCGAUGCCGCGAUGACGUGAAUAAUAAGCCGGUACGGAACCGAUUCCCACAGAGACAAUGCGAUAGGUAAUGCAGAUGUGCAGCAAUCGAGUAAUCCCAGGCACUAGCCUUUCUCGCAAUCGAAAGGGAUCACUACGCCAUGCUAUAACCGGCGAAAAAGAAACGGUGAACUACACCGAGGGGGACGAGUGCACACGGGAGGCUCGUCGCUCGAGCGGUAGCCAAAAUGUUACGCAAGCCUCUUACAAAACGCGACACAAUGUCUCCCUCUCGCCUCUCGUGCCGCAAUAAAAUCCCGGCGUCGAUCUCUCAUAUCGACGCUCUUUUGUCUGUAUACCUAUAGCUACACAUACAGGACAUACAGGAAGGGUUGCGUUAAAGGUCGCGCCGAGAGCGAUGAGGACAAAAGCGAAAAAGGAGCAAAGUGUAUAGCUGCGCAGCCCUGUGUGCCAAAGUCACCGCUCUCUUGUGUGUGUGUGUGUUUUUUGCUCUUAUAUUCACCUUCAUCGUGUGCGCUCUCGGAUCUCGUGUGGGGGAUUUGCUCGCUCACGGGAGAGGAGAGCGUGAUACACAAGCCGGCUACCGAGUGAGGGAAAGUGUUGGGGCUUAUUAUGUGGCGUCUCUCGAGGUAUAUAAGGCUCAGCUCCGGAAAACUCGGCAGUCAAGUGGUUUCUCAGCCACGUACAAGCGCGCGCGAACCUUACAAUGAAGUUUAAGAUCUGCAUAGUCCUCGCGCUGGUGGCGCUGGCGCGCUGCGAGGAGGCAGCGGAGAAGAAGACCGAGAAGCGUGGCAUCGGCCAUGCCUACGGCGACUACGCCUCCCACGAGCACCACGAGCACGUCAAGACCGUCGAGGUGGUGAAGAAGGUGCCAGUGCCCGUCGAGCACAUCAAGCACGUGCCCUACGAAGUCAUCAAGCACGUUCCGUACGAAGUCAAGGUCCCGGUGCCCCAGCCCUACACCGUUGAGAAGCACGUGCCCUACCCCGUCAAGGUUUUCGUCAAGGUGCCAGUACAUGUACCCCAGCCCUACACCGUCGAGAAGAAGAUCCCCUACGAGGUUAAGGUCCCAGUCGACAAGCCCUACGAAGUCAAGGUCCAUGUACCCCAACCCUACGAAGUCGUCAAGCACGUCCCCGUCGAAGUGAAAGUGCCCGUACCCCAGCCCUACACCGUUGAGAAGCACGUACCCUACCCCGUCAAAGUCAAGGUCCCAGUACCCCAGCCCUACGAGGUCAUCAAGCACGUCCCGUAUGAAGUCAAGGUUCCCGUUGACAAGCCAUACCCCGUCCCAGUGCCCAAGCCCUACCCCGUCACCGUCGAGAAGCCCUACCCAGUCACUGUCGAGAAGCACGUUCCUUAUGAAGUCAAGGUCCCAGUCGACAGACCAUACCCCGUCGAGGUCCAGAAGCCGUACCCCGUGCCCGUGAAGGUGCCCGUGCCCAAGCCCUACGAGGUGAUCAAGCACUACCCCGUCGAGGUCCAGAAGCCAGUGCCCGUGCCCGUGAAGGUGCCCGUCGACAGGCCCUACUACGUCGAGAAGGAGGUACCGUACCCCGUUGAGAAGGAAGUGCCGUACCCCGUGAAGGUGCCCUACCCAGUGCCCGUCCACGUCAAGGAGCAGCACCACCACUACGAGGGUGGCUUCGAGCCCAGCGGUCACUACGGCCACCACUAAGCCGUCCAGCUCGAAAUUUGGGGUACAGCGCGAUGACGCACGACCCAGCCCAGAGACAGGGUCCUAGCUAAUUGCGAGAGUGCUUUGGGGUACCACGACCUCGACGACGACGACGCUUUUUGGUUCGCGCGCGCGCUUAUUUUCUCUCUCACCUCUUUCGUGAACAACUCAGCUUCCCUUGGCCGUUCUCCCGGAAGAUUGUGAAAGCCCAUAGACGCGAGAGACUGUGGACGCGUUGCACGAAAUGGAGUACAGGCGGGCGCACAAAAUGGCUCCCCUCGACCAUAUACACACAGUGUGGGAACAGCCGUCAUUGUCGCGCUAGCGAUUGUUUCGUCAUCGGCGUCCUCUCUCACUCGUUAUAUCGCCGCAUUGUUCCAACAUAGCUAUUAAGACGUUCCGUCGCAAUAGCGCGCCGUCGCUAUUGCCGCGUGGAAACGUCGAUCGGGCGAGACUAAUAAUCAAAAGUAUACAGAGAAAGUUUCCGCGAAUUUGUCCGCGGCAAAAAAUCUAGAAUAUCCGAGAAGAAAGUCCGCGCGCACUCUUUUUUUCGAGUCAACGCAACGCUGUAAAUACGUGUUUGUACAAAAAAAGCCAACAAUAAGCUCGUCCGUGACAAAAUAACCGCGUCGUCCUCGAGAUAUUUCGCGGCUCUUCUGCUUUGACAAUUUUAAGCAUAAGCUAUUUUUAUAUAUCGAGAUCGAAUCUUAAGAAGUAUAAGAAGCUAAAUUUUAAGGGAACACAACUUCCGGACGACGCUACGAUCUGUGUAUGUUAAUAAGUGUAUACAUAUGCUUUUGCGCGAUCGGGGCCGAAUGCGAUCAGCGAAGACGCUAAAAAUCAAACUUUUAUUUUUUUUUUACCUCGUCGCUACGUACUUCCGCCUUUUUUUCUACCUAUUUUUUUAUACAUAUUAUAUACCAUAUUUUUCUACGAAUAUACCUGUACAAACACUCGAACUCUAGUUCUCUCACUCUACGUAUUUACGUAGACGAAGAGGAAAAAAAAUAAACAAGAAGCGACUUCGUCGCGCCUAUGCGCGGCGAUAAAACAACUGAAUUUUAUAUAAAAUGUAAUUUUAUGCUCGAGAUGGAAAAAUAAAAAGAAACAUGGAAUGAUGAUAUAAAAAUGUCCGCUGCGCGCUGAAGGGAUAGGAAAUCAUGUCUGUAUAAUAUCGCGGCGCAGCCUGUAUGAAAAGUCGCGACAAGCGCGUGUGCGUUAUAGCGCGACGAAAAACAAUUUUUUGUACUGCAAAUAAAUAAAACUCAUGAAACCAAGAAAAAAAAUAA